UCUGGUAGUUGCGGCUGGAGUGAGUGCGCGCGCGCUGGCUGGUCCCGAGCGGCUCGCUCGCGCUCUGUCCGAGUUGCGAGGCGGCCGCGAGCGGAUCGGGCUUGCGCUCCUGCCCCCCCCCCCCCCGCGAGGGGAAGCCACGGCGCUAACAGCCGUUCGGGUGCCCAGCUCUCGCUGUGGGGGAGGCGGCUGGGUGGCUGCUGUGCCGGUCCGGCGACCUCUCUGCCCCCCGCUAUGGCGGUGACCCAUGGAACAGGGCUGUCCCCCCAGGCGCCGCCACAGGCCCAGGGUCCGUGUGCGGGAGACCCGGCCAACUGGAGACGGAGCCCCCAGGUGGUGUCCCACGGGAGCCAGGAGCAGCAGGGGCGUCCCGCGGCCCCCAGCGGAUCCGAGACUGGAUGUUCUAGAACAUCAGUCAAAACAGAUACAAUCUCUAAAGGCACUCUCACAGAAAAAUGGCAGGCAAACAAAAAGACAGAGGAUAUGACAAAUUACAUGGAUGAUUUAACUCUAAGCUCACCAAAAGAGAGAGAUUCUCGCUCAAAGUCCAAAACUAGUCAGGGCAGAUCAUCUUGUAGUUCACAAUCUAGUUCAAGCACUUCAGCUUCCUCAAGGAGUUGGAGCAGGUCUCGAAGCAGAUCAAUAUCACGAGCUAGUAGAAAUGUUUCCAGAAGGUGUAGAAGAUACUCAAGAUCGUAUUCCAGAAGUCGGUCAAGAUCACGCAGCCUUCAAUACAGAGGAAGGUACCAUCCUAGAACCUACAGGAGAUGCUACCGUUCUCCUCCAAGGUAUAGAUCACGCAGCAGGUCCCGGUCUCAUGGAAGACCAUAUUAUAGAAGAGCUUUUUCAAGAAGCAGAUCACGAUCAAGAGGACGAAGAUACUAUGGAUUUGGGAGAACCAUAUAUCCUGAGGCUUACAGAAGUUGGAGAAGCAGAUCACGAACAAGAUCUCGAAGCGGAACACCUCUGCGCUUAAGUGAAAAAGAGAAGAGGGAACUCUUAGAAAUUGCAAAGGCUAAUGCUGCAAAAGCCCUGGGAACAGAUAACAUAGUCUUGCCAGCUAGCUUGAGAGUCUACAGCCUAUCCAAAGAGACAAAUGGUGGAAAAUGCAGAAGUGAAGAUUCUGCUGAGUCCACUGAGAUGUUGAGAGAUUACAGAAGAAGAGGCCUGCAUCAUUUGCAGAUAAGUUUAUUGUCCUUCUCCAAAGCUCUGCAGGGUGGAUAUGCAGAGUUUAUAUACAACUUGCUGUAACGUUCCAUUUCACUUUAUGAAGUCCAUGCUUACAAUAAAUUCCCUAGUUAAAGCUAAAACAUGGGCAUGGAUAUAAGGUUGUACAUUGGGAAAUGUUUAGUAUUUCUGUCAAUAUAAUUGUCAAUUUGAGUUUUCAACACUGAUCUGUAUGUGCAUUCUAUACUUUACAGUUUAAAGCCACUAUUGAUCUAAAUAGUUGAGGCAAAACUUACACUAGAAUAUUCACAUACUCAAGUGAGUUUCCUUAAUUCACAUAGAAUGUGAGAACCUGUUUAAACUGUGCGCCUUCUCCUGUAGCAAUCCAGAAGACUAACAGAAGACUUAACCAAAAGUGGAACUGAGGGAUCUCCUGCAGUGUGAGGCUUAUCUUUCAGCCCUAAUGACACAAUGGCAAAGCCAAUACUCCAGAAACCAGCAAGUCUCUGUUAAAGAGACAGCAGUAUCCUUGGGGAAAAGAAGAUACAAAGAGAAAUCCUUAUGGGCAAUUGGCUCCUAUGAAGGAGGAAAACAGCUUAUUUUUUAACUUUUCACUUAAAAGUGCACCCUUCUGAGCACGCUAGCACCUUUCACUUACUGUGCUGUGAACUAUUGGCAUUAUGCAUUACUUACUUAAGUGAGGUCUGAAAUCCUCUUAUCAGGUUGAGUAUUUUUGUAAAUAAGUAUUUAAAGAUGUUAAUUCUGACCUGUUAGAUUUCUUUUCCAGAUAUGAAAAUACAGCACAAUGGCCCAGAAACUACAAGUGGGAAUCUUAGGUAUAUAUUUGUAAAUGCUUUUGUGUGUCACUAUAAUGGAGUAGAAAUUACAGGUGGGUAACUUUUUCUCAGUGUUACUUUAGCAGCCACUGGUCUGAACAUUUGUAAUGCAUUGAUUUGUUUAAAACCUGUUUUGUACUUGUUUCAAAUAGUUGAACUAUGGUAGCAAGUUCUUUAAGGCCUAUGUAAUAAUUCAGUUGAACUGUGAAGUUGUCCUCUUGGCUUCUAGUCUGAGCCUGUAGGUGUAAAUUGGCACAUUUAGCUGUAAGUGAAUGAUGAAGUACUAAAGAACAAAUAUGAAACAAUCAGAUGCUAACAAUAGACUUCAGAUGUUGGAGCAACUUGAUUUCAAGUUGAAAAUGUUAAAUGCCUAUCCUAAUCUGAGUGAUUCUCUGAAAUAGGCUUUCUUAAACCUCUGUGCAGAUGUUUGCAGUAGGACUGUAUGAUUGCCAUGCAGGAAUCCUUGCUCAAUUAUGGCUCAGUCAUGCAUGCUAAUCUUAAGGAAACAGAGUUCUAAUAUAUGUUGCUUUCUAUUUGGUCUUCUUAAAUUCUGACACUUAAAUUAAGCGCAGUUCUUCUUGUUGGUGAUGUAUUUAAAACAGGCCUUGAACUAAAUCACCACCACUAAAAUCUAAAAUGGUAAUCAUAAAACUUGCUCAGAUCCCCUGGACUUCAAAGCAGUGAGGAUAGUUAAGAAGUUUACGUUAUCCUAAUUUGUUUCCAGUCCUGGUCCUAUACCAGUGAUCUACACAUGCCAGCUUGACACUUGAAACAUUGAUGUAUAAAGUGUACAGUAACUUCACGUUAUGCCCCUCAGCAGUUCUCAGUUUCCACUGCUUGAAGAUAAGUGUGUGAUUAAGUAAUAUAUUUCUUAGAGCUUAUGGGUAUUUCAUAACUGGGAUUGUUUUGGUGGGGGAGACUUACUAAACUGGAAUUCAUGUAAAUGGUUUGCACAAUAAAACUUGUACUGAAUAA